rnacentral:rRNA from 1 species
UGGGGAAUUUUGGACAAUGGGCGAAAGCCUGAUCCAGCGACGCCGCGUGGAGGACGAAGGCCUUCGGGUUGUAAACUCCUUUUGGCAGGGACGAAAUAAAUGACGGUACCUGCAGAAAAAGCCACGGCUAACUACGUGCCAGCAGCCGCGGUAAUACGUAGGUGGCGAGCGUUACUCGGAAUUACUAGGCGUAAAGCGCUUGUAGGUGGUUGGAUAAGUCUAUGGUGAAAUUUCCCGGCUUAACUGGGAAGGGUCCAUGGAAACUGUCUGGCUUGAGUGUGGCAGGGGGUGACGGAAUUCCCGGUGUAGCGGUGAAAUGCGUAGAUAUCCUGAGGAACACCGGUGGCGAAAGCGGCUUUCUGGUACGAAACUGACGCUGAGGCUCGAAAGCGUGGGGAGCGAACG